UUUUUUUUUUUUUUUUGAAGCGAAUCCUAUGAGGCUAUGAUAAACCGAUCAUCGCUCGGUCCUGCCUGUGAAAUCGUCUCUAGGGUUUGGGUCUCUCUCAAUUCCAUCGCGCUUUUGUACCUCUCGCUCCGUUAUUCUUCUUAUUCACGAGUCUCUGUUCUAUUUUAUUUGUUGUUGUUUUUGUUUGUCUUUGCAGGACUUUUGGAAGCGAAUCAAUCCUCCGCUUCUGAAUUUUUUCACACUACUACUCCUGAGUCCUGAGUCCCUACGGUUUGGGGUUAUUAAAUCUUAUUUUUAGUUUUUGCUGUUUUAGAUUGAUUGUGGUUGAUAAUGCUAUGAUCGAUUUAUAAUUUGCUCAGGCACUUUGUUCUCACUUCUUAGUUUUCAAACUUUGGGUUUUCUAAAUUGUAUCGAAUUAACUUGUCAUCUUUGUUUUGUUUUGUUGAUUUUAGAUUUUGUGGAGGAGGAGGAUGCGCUACGAUUGAUCUGUGAUGGCUUUGAUUGAUCAUUGUCAAGCGGGUCGUCGUAGAGGUGAUAUGCUUACUUCUGAGAGCUCCUCUGUUGCACUAGGCUGGACGUACAUGUGAGGUUUUGGAUGUGUGCUUUUACUGAUCAGUUAUGGCUUUGAUGGACACGCUUCACUUCUUCUCUGUGCAACGUCUUCAUUGGUUUUUUUGGAAGGGAAUUAUGAUCUGAUCAUCACGUGUAUUUCUCCAUAAUACAUCUUCAGGCCUCCUCACGGUUCCUUGCUCGCUCUAAACGUUUGUGAAGGAUCCUACCAUUGAUCGUUGAUGGCUUUGACUGAUCGUUGUCACUCUAGAUCUUGUUAUUCUUCUAAGGUUUUGUUUCUAAACUGCAACGGUUGAAUAUGUUCUGUUAUUUCAGCUUUUGAAGGAUGCUUUUAUCGAUGAGAGUCAUGGGUUUGAUGGACAUGCCUCUUCUCUGUUCUACGUCUUCAGGGUUUUUUCCUUCCUCUUAACACUUCUUUUACUCUCUUUUUUUUUUGGUUCCUUACGUUCCUUACGUUCCUUUCUUCUUCGUCUUGCAGGUGAUUUGGAAGCGAAUUAUGAUCAUAGCAUAAUCUUCUCGAGGCUACGUUUCAAGGCUUUCUCACAGAUUUGUGUAGGAGGAUCCUACAAUUGGUUUGGAUGAUGUUUGUACUGAUGAGAAUGAUGGCUUUGAUGGAAAUACUUCUUCUCCUUGCUACGUCUUCAGAGGUCAGAGAGAUUGAUUGAAGAAUGAGGUAGACUUAAGCAGACUGCUUAAGACAUCUUCAGUGAUCCUAAUGGAAGAAUUCUGAGUUACGUGGGCUCCCAUCAUCUGCUUUAUGGCAACAUUUCAAGGUCUGAUUGACAAGUAAUGUUUUGCUCCAACAUUUUGGUGUCUGCUCCCUGUCCAUAUGAAAUCACCUUUCUUAGCUAUACCAAGAUUGAUUGAAGAAUGAAGAAGAAGAAUACUCAAGUCUGCUUUAUCUCAGAGAGAUGGAUUGAAGAGUGAGAAGAAGAAGACUUAAGCAGACUGCUUAAGUGAUCCUAAUGGAAGUUAUAAGAAGACACUCUGAAUUCUGCGGUUUGUAUUACUUGCUCUUAGAUGAAGUUGGAUCAUUUGCGGAGAGCUGGCGAUGUCUUUUUUAAUUUGCUGAGGUCGCUCGAGACAGUCUUACACAACGAUGGUCAAAUCCUAUUCUGUAGAUUGGAUUGGGGUUUGUUUCUGGAGUUCAGAGAGACGACGACAAUGUUGGGUUUUAGCAAGAAGAGCUAACAUUCAGUAUACGUGGAAAGAUCAGAGAGAUGGAUUGAAGAAUGAAGUAGAAGACUCAAGUCUGCUUUAGGAACCCAUGGUGUCAUCGACAACACCAGUUAUGAUGAAGGUGAUGAAGUAUGCUUUGUUUGCUCUUGUGUCCAGAGGCUCAUCCAUUGGACUCACAUCGCAUACAUCAUUUGUGUGCUUUCAUUCUCUUGUGCAGACUGUCCGUUUUAAGAAUGAGAAAUGCCCUAGACCAAUGUGCUAUACAAGGCCUAUGGAAGUGAAAAGGAGGACACCCCAAAUUGUAAUGUCCCCGAAUUUGAGAUUCUAUAGGAAGCUCGUGAUGUGUGCUUCAUGGCAAG